rnacentral:rRNA from 1 species
GAUGAACGCUGGCGGCGUGCCUAAUACAUGCAAGUCGAGCGAACAGACGAGGAGCUUGCUCCUCUGACGUUAGCGGCGGACGGGUGAGUAACACGUGGAUAACCUACCUAUUAGACUGGGAUAACUUCGGGAAACCGGAGCUAAUACCGGAUAAUAUAUUGAACCGCAUGGUUCAAUAGUGAAAGACGGUUUUGCUGUCACUUAUAGAUGGAUCCGCGCCGCAUUAGCUAGUUGGUAAGGUAACGGCUUACCAAGGCAACGAUGCGUAGCCGACCUGAGAGGGUGAUCGGCCACACUGGAACUGAGACACGGUCCAGACUCCUACGGGAGGCAGCAGUAGGGAAUCUUCCGCAAAGGGCGAAAGCCUGACGGAGCAACGCCGCGUGAGUGAUGAAGGUCUUCGGAUCGUAAAACUCUGUUAUUAGGGAAGAACAAAUGUGUAAGUAACUAUGCACGUCUUGACGGUACCUAAUCAGAAAGCCACGGCUAACUACGUG